rnacentral:rRNA from 1 species
UACGGGGGGGGCAAGCGUUGUUCGGAAUUACUGGGCGUAAAGGGCUCGUAGGCGGCCGACUAAGUCAGACGUGAAAUCCCUCGGCUUAACCGGGGAACUGCGUCUGAUACUGGACGGCUUGAGUUCGGGAGAGGGAUGCGGAAUUCCAGGUGUAGCGGUGAAAUGCGUAGAUAUCUGGAGGAACACCGGUGGCGAAGGCGGCAUCCUGGACCGACACUGACGCUGAUGAGCGAAAGCGUGGGGAGCGAACAGG